rnacentral:rRNA from 1 species
UACGUAGGGUGCAAGCGUUGUCCGGAAUUAUUGGGCGUAAAGAGCUCGUAGGCGGUUUGUCGCGUCUGCUGUGAAAACUCGGGGCUUAACCCCGGGCCUGCAGUGGGUACGGGCAGACUAGAGUGCGGUAGGGGAGACUGGAAUUCCCGGUGUAGUGGUGAAAUGCGUAGAUAUCGGGAGGAACACCAGUGGCGAAGGCGGCUACCUGGCCCAUUCUUGACGCUGAGGCGCGAAAGCUAGGGGAGCAAACGGG